rnacentral:misc_RNA from 1 species
GAAAUUUUUACCACGAAUUGGAUCUCCACUCCUAUACUUCACAGAUUCUCCAGAUCCUUCUCUUUCCUCUAUAUCUUGUGCAGAUAAUCAAAUACAUUUAUUGAAAAUGCCUUCUAUGGAAAUUUUGAAGUCCAUUUCAGGGAUCAAGCUUCCUUGUUCAUUUCCUGAGACAUACAAAGGCUUAUGUAGUGGGGUUGCCUUUGAUCACAAUGCUGGCUUAAUUGCCUUGCGUACAGAGAACUAUUCCAUUCAGCUAUAUAGUCUAUUUGAUGACCGUGGAAUUUCUGAGGUCCAAGUUUGUGAGAGAAACCAUCAUCCUGGUGAUGACGUCACGGUAGUAGUGACUUUGGUUACUCUAUCAUUGGAUGGCUCAAUGAUGAUUACUACAGAAGUGAAACUUGCCGAGGAGGGCUUAGGUGGACUUGUUUGUCUUAAGUUUUGGGCUUUGGGCUCAGAUAACAGAAAAUUCAGUUUGUCCACUGUAGUUUAUGAACCGCACAGGGAUGCUGGCAUUUCUUCAAUUGCUUUCCAUCCUACCCGUUGUAUGGCUGUCAGCUCAUCUUAUGGUGGGGACUUUAAGACUUGGGUUUGCAACAAUGGGAUUCAACGGAGAGAUCAAGUGCUUACAAGUUCUAGAUGGACUUGCCAUGCUGUUGCCUCAUAUAAAAAAAAGCCAAUGACAGCUGCUACAUUUUCUUAUGAUGGUUCUGUUCUUGCUGUUGCUGCUGAAACUGUUAUUACAUUAUGGGACCCUGACAAAAAUGUUCUUGUGGCUGUAAUUGGGGAGACUCUCACGCCAAUUGUCAGUCUCUCAUUUGUGGGGAAGUCAGAAUACCUUGUUUCUGCAUCUUGGGGUUCAAAACCAUAACUAUCUGUUUGGAGUUUGUCAAAGCUCUCUAUAUCUUGGUCAUACAGGCUUCAUGUAGAAGCUAUAGCCAGUGCGGCCGACUUAUCUUUGUUUGCUGCUCUUGUUUUCCUUCCCAAAUCAUCUAAAAGCAGUGAAUCCAAUGAGACAAUUUUUAGAGGAAGAGAUGGAGUAAUUUUAAUUUUUAAUGCAGCAGAUCCUGUUCCUAGUGCCACUUGGUUGGUGAAUAAGGCUAAGGGAGGAGCCCUUGCUUUUCUUCAAGUAAAUCAAUCUUCUGUGGAAGAAAACAUGUUUGAUGGGAAGCCACUUGGAUCAUUGCUUGCAUACAUAAAUGGGGAUCAUGAGUAUAUCCUAUUUGAACCACAUGGAAAAGAAGCUAAUGAACUAGGGACAAUUAAGCAGGAAGCUGUUCCUGACCUUGAAGAAGCAGGGAAAUUUGGGUAUGCAUCUAUCUAUGGUGAGCUCCCAGAGUCUAACCUGAAAAGAACCCAGACUUCAGCAGUAGUUCCAUUUGUACCAUCCGAGAAGCUGUUGGAAACCAUGUUUAGUGGGUCAUCACAUAAUCUUCCACCCCUCACCAAACUAUGUUCAGCAUUUUUGGAAUCAUUGUUGGAAAAGAGGAUUACUGUCUCGGAUUGAUGCCUGGGGAUGUUAGAUACAAGCUUGCCAAUGCAAAUUAGACACGCCCCUCGAAAAUGUCGGUAUUCUUGCACGUGUGAUGAUACAGAAAAUGCCGUUCACACUUGACAUUAUGCCAUGAAUAUCAUUGGUUAAAAUGGCAGCGUAUGUCGUACCG